rnacentral:rRNA from 1 species
UGGGGAAUAUUGCACAAUGGGCGCAAGCCUGAUGCAGCCAUGCCGCGUGUGUGAAGAAGGCCUUCGGGUUGUAAAGCACUUUCAGCGAGGAGGAAGGUGGUGAACUUAAUACGUUCAUCAAUUGACGUUACUCGCAGAAGAAGCACCGGCUAACUCCGUGCCAGCAGCCGCGGUAAUACGGAGGGUGCAAGCGUUAAUCGGAAUUACUGGGCGUAAAGCGCACGCAGGCGGUUUGUUAAGUCAGAUGUGAAAUCCCCGGGCUCAACCUGGGAACUGCAUUUGAAACUGGCAAGCUAGAGUCUCGUAGAGGGGGGUAGAAUUCCAGGUGUAGCGGUGAAAUGCGUAGAGAUCUGGAGGAAUACCGGUGGCGAAGGCGGCCCCCUGGACGAAGACUGACGCUCAGGUGCGAAAGCGUGGGAGCAAACAGGAUUAGAUACCCUGGUAGUCCACGCUGU